UAAUCACAGCCAAAUAAAAACAUCUGGAAGCUGAAAAUCCUUAGUACAUUAUUGCAAGUGCAGAGCAACUUUGACGAUUUAGCUGUAUUUGAAGAAAUGAGGAAAACUGGACUGAAAAUACAGAAAUGUGCUGAAACAGACACUAUAGAAGGAGGCUAGAAAUACAAGUUAUUCUGCAGUGACUCAGGCUAGUACCAGCAUAGCACCAGAGCACCUAACAGCACAGCACUUCUGAAGUACCACCAGACCCAACGUGUUUUUUGAUUAAAAAAUUCCAGUUACAGAUGAGGAGAGGAAACUUCAUCUCAAAGGGAGUAACUAAGAAUGUUUAAUAGCUGCUGAUAGAACUUGAUUUUGGAUGUACUAAGAAGGGACUUGAGCAGCUUAGUAGAAUAAGGAACUUGGGCUAUGCAACUAAAACAUUAUCAGUUUUGGAACUGUGUCUCUCU
rnacentral:lncRNA from 1 species